rnacentral:rRNA from 1 species
UCGAUUCCCUUAGUAGCGGCGAGCGAAACGGGAAGAGCCCAAACCAACAAGCUUGCUUGUUGGGGUUGUAGGACACUCUAUACGGAGUUACAAAGGACGACAUUAGACGAAUCAUCUGGAAAGAUGAAUCAAAGAAGGUAAUAAUCCUGUAGUCGAAAAUGUUGUCUCUCUUGAGUGGAUCCUGAGUACGACGGAGCACGUGAAAUUCCGUCGGAAUCUGGGAGGACCAUCUCCUAAGGCUAAAUACUCUCUAGUGACCGAUAGUGAACCAGUACCGUGAGGGAAAGGUGAAAAGCACCCCGGAAGGGGAGUGAAAUAGAACCUGAAACCGUGUGCUUACAAGUAGUCAGAGCCCGUUAAUGGGUGAUGGCGUGCCUUUUGUAGAAUGAACCGGCGAGUUACGAUUUGAUGCAAGGUUAAGCAGUAAAUGUGGAGCCGUAGCGAAAGCGAGUCUGAAUAGGGCGUUUAGUAUUUGGUCGUAGACCCGAAACCAGGUGAUCU